GAGUUUGAUCAUGGCUCAGAUUGAACGCUGGCGGCAUGCCUUACACAUGCAAGUCGAACGGCAGCACGGGAGCAAUCCUGGUGGCGAGUGGCGAACGGGUGAGUAAUACAUCGGAACGUGCCCAGUAGUGGGGGAUAACCCGGCGAAAGCCGGACUAAUACCGCAUACGACCUACGGGUGAAAGCAGGGGAUCGCAAGACCUUGCGCUAUCGGAGCGGCCGAUGUCAGAUUAGCUUGUUGGUGGGGUAAAGGCCCACCAAGGCGACGAUCUGUAGCUGGUCUGAGAGGACGACCAGCCACACUGGGACUGAGACACGGCCCAGACUCCUACGGGAGGCAGCAGUGGGGAAUUUUGGACAAUGGGCGCAAGCCUGAUCCAGCCAUGCCGCGUGCGGGAAGAAGGCCUUCGGGUUGUAAACCGCUUUUGUCAGGGAAGAAACGCUCCGGGUUAAUACCUCGGAGUAAUGACGGUACCUGAAGAAUAAGCACCGGCUAACUACGUGCCAGCAGCCGCGGUAAUACGUAGGGUGCAAGCGUUAAUCGGAAUUACUGGGCGUAAAGCGUGCGCAGGCGGCUUUGCAAGACAGAUGUGAAAUCCCCGGGCUUAACCUGGGAACUGCAUUUGUGACUGCAUG
rnacentral:rRNA from 1 species